rnacentral:rRNA from 1 species
GACGAACGCUGGCGGCGUGCCUAACACAUGCAAGUGGAGCGACGACCCAGGCUUCGGCCUGGUGCAAAGCCGCGAACGGGUGAGUAACACGUGGGUAACCUGCCCCGAUGAUUGGGACGAACCCGACGGAAACUACGGGCGUAAUACCGAAUGUGCCCUCCCAGCUAUAAGGCUGCUGGGGAAAGGGAAAGCUUCGGCCUCCGCAUCGGGAGUGGGCCC